CACGUAGGGUGCGAGCGUUGUCCGGAUUUAUUGGGCGUAAAGAGCGUGUAGGCGGCCAUGCAGGUCAGCUGUGAAAACUCGAGGCUCAACCUCGAGACGUCGGUUGAAACCGCAUGGCUAGAGUCCGGAAGAGGAGAGUGGAAUUCCCGGUGUAGCGGUGAAAUGCGCAGAUAUCGGGAAGAACACCCGUGGCGAAGGCGGCUCUCUGGGACGGUACUGACGCUGAGACGCGAAAGCGUGGGGAGCGAACAGG
rnacentral:rRNA from 1 species